AGAUUGAACGCUGGCGGCAUGCCUAACACAUGCAAGUCGAACGGGAGUAGCAAUACUCUAGUGGCGGACGGGUGAGGAAUACGUAGGAAUUUGCCCUUAAGUGGGGGAUAACCCGGGGAAACCCGGAUUAAUACCGCAUGACCUCGAAAGAGCAAAGUGGGGGAUCGCAAGACCUCACGCUUUUGGAGAAGCCUACGUCGGAUUAGCUAGUUGGUGAGGUAAUGGCUCACCAAGGCGACGAUCCGUAACUGGUCUGAGAGGAUGAUCAGUCACACCGGACUGAGACACGGUCCGGACUCCGUACGGGAGCAGCAGGUGGGGAAUUAGUU
rnacentral:rRNA from 1 species